GAUGAAGAACGUAGCGAAAUGCGAUAAGUAAUGUGAAUUGCAGAAUUCAGUGAAUCAUCGAAUCUUUGAACGCACAUUGCGCCCGCUGGUAUUCCGGCGGGCAUGCCUGUUCGAGCGUCAUUUCAACCCUCAAGCUCUCCGGAGUUUGGUGUCGGGGCGCCUGGGGCUUUUCGACCUCAGGGCCCUCAAGUCCAUCGGCGGGACCGCCAGGACACUGAGCGCAGUAGUAUUAUUUCGCUCGGUAGGAUCUUCCACGGCGGGUCGAUCUGGCCGCUAAACCCCCCAAUUCUCACCAAAGGUUGACCUCGGAUCAGGUAGGAAUACCCGCUGAACUUAAGCAUAUCAAUAAGCGGAGGA
rnacentral:misc_RNA from 1 species